rnacentral:rRNA from 1 species
AUUGAACGCUGGCGGCAGGCCUAACACAUGCAAGUCGAGCGGAUGAAGGGAGCUUGCUCCUGGAUUCAGCGGCGGACGGGUGAGUAAUGCCUAGGAAUCUGCCUGGUAGUGGGGGAUAACGUCCGGAAACGGGCGCUAAUACCGCAUACGUCCUGAGGGAGAAAGUGGGGGAUCUUCGGACCUCACGCUAUCAGAUGAGCCUAGGUCGGAUUAGCUAGUUGGUGGGGUGAAGGCCUACCAAGGCGACGAUCCGUAACUGGUCUGAGAGGAUGAUCAGGCACACUGGAACUGAGACACGGUCCAGACUCCUACGGGAGGCAGCAGUGGGGAAUAUUGGACAAUGGGCGAAAGCCUGAUCCAGCCAUGCCGCGUGUGUGAAGAAGGUCUUCGGAUUGUAAAGCACUUUAAGUUGGGAGGAAGGGCAGUAAGUUAAUACCUUGCUGUUUUGACGUUACCAACAGAAUAAGCACCGGCUAACUUCGUG